AGAGUUUGAUCCUGGCUCAGGACGAACGCUGGCGGCGCGCCUAACACAUGCAAGUCGAACGAGCGAGAGAGAGCUUGCUUUCUCGAGCGAGUGGCGAACGGGUGAGUAACGCGUGAGGAACCUGCCUCAAAGAGGGGGACAACAGUUGGAAACGACUGCUAAUACCGCAUAAGCCCACGGCUCGGCAUCGAGCAGAGGGAAAAGGAGUAAUCCGCUUUGAGAUGGCCUCGCGUCCGAUUAGCUAGUUGGUGAGGUAACGGCCCACCAAGGCGACGAUCGGUAGCCGGACUGAGAGGUUGAACGGCCACAUUGGGACUGAGACACGGCCCAGACUCCUACGGGAGGCAGCAGUGGGGAAUAUUGCACAAUGGGGGAAACCCUGAUGCAGCGACGCCGCGUGGAGGAAGAAGGUCUUCGGAUUGUAAACUCCUGUUGUUGGGGAAGAUAAUGACGGUACCCAACAAGGAAGUGACGGCUAACUACGUGCCAGCAGCCGCGGU
rnacentral:rRNA from 1 species